AUUGAACGCUGGCGGCAUACUUUACACAUGCAAGUCGAACGGUAACAGGUUAAGCUGACGAGUGGCGAACGGGUGAGUAAUGCAUCGGAACGUGCCCGAUCGUGGGGGAUAACGCAGCGAAAGCUGCGCUAAUACCGCAUACGAUCUGAGGAUGAAAGCGGGGGACCGUAAGGCCUCGCGCGAUCGGAGCGGCCGAUGUCAGAUUAGGUAGUUGGUGGGGUAAAGGCCCACCAAGCCGACGAUCUGUAGCUGGUCUGAGAGGACGACCAGCCACACUGGGACUGGGACACGGCCCAGACUCCUACGGGAGGCAGCAGUGGGGAAUUUUGGACAAUGGGCGAAAGCCUGAUCCAGCAAUGCCGCGUGCAGGAAGAAGGCCUUCGGGUUGUAAACUGCUUUUGUACGGAGCGAAAAGGUCCUUUCUAAUACAGGGGGCUCAUGACGGUACCGUAAGAAUAAGCACCGGCUAACUACGUGCCAGCAGCCGCCGUAA
rnacentral:rRNA from 1 species